rnacentral:lncRNA from 1 species
UCUGGCUUCCUUGAGGAGGAAAGUUGGAAGGAGAAAGAAGGACAGGAAGAGUGAAGGGAGAAAGGACAGAAGAUAACUUGAUUUCCCUAAAACAUUUGAUAUAUAAGAACUACAACUUGAACUGUUACACUUCCUUACUUUGAAGAGAAUUCUUGGGCUAUAUGUAAUUGCCUAUAUGAGUCCAGUAAAGCUUGAUCUUUAUUGGUUUUCAAAUUGUUUAUCCUUUUCCCAACAAACCCUGUCCUGGCAGACAUUCUCCAGCAGGUGCAGAGUUAGUUCUCUCUCCCUGUGGGGUUAAGAGCAAAGGCAGCCAGACUGUUUAGUGGUUGGGAUGCUGCUGCCUAGCAACGGAACUCAAGUUGUGAUUCCCAAGGAGAAUACUGAUAAUCAGGAAGAAAGGAAUAAGCUGAAUUCAGCAGCUUCUCUCUAGUGGUAGGAACUGGAUUCAUCAGGGCAACUUUCCUAAUAGGAGAGAAAAAGAAAUGGGUCAACGUGGAGCAUGGAUGGAGGAAAGAUACUACCACCUUCAUUACCAUAUGGAAGCAAGUUUGAUCAGCAGGGCAACCAAGAUAUCCACCAGAUCUCCUUUGUUUUGCAAUAUCAUCAGUUACAUAUAACAGUCUCAUACCAAAGGAGUUGGGAAGUUGAUCCCAGUGCAUGGUACCCCUGGAUGGUUCCCAAGAGAGAUCGAUGUGAGGGCAGAUGUGAUUCAAGACCGUGGCACUCUCUCCAAAGGACAAUGUAAACAGCUGUUCAAGAAGAGUGGCAUCUGGCAUCAGCCCUACUCCCAGGUGAGCAGGUGGGAGUGAGAAGAUCACAAAAGGGUGGAUUAAGAGAUUGAGAAAGAUGACCAUUUUAUUCCUUUUCAGGAGUCUCACUAAAGAGUUAUGCUACUCUUCCAUCUAGGUGCCAAAGAGGCUAGGGUGCUAAGCCUGCAGUCAGGAAGACCUAAGUUUUCAUUCUGCCUCUAAUACUUAUGUGCCCUAUGACCCUGGGCAAAUGACAACCUUUCACAGCCUUAGUUUCUUCGUUUGCAUCGUGGAGAUAACAAAAAAACAACUACACAGGGUUGUUUUCAGGAUCAAAAGGGUCA